AUUGAACGCUGGCGGCUGGCCUAACACAUGCAAGUCGAGCGGAUGAAGUUAGCUUGCUCCUGGAUUCAGCGGCGGACGGGUGAGUAAUUCCUAGGAAUCUGCCUGGUAGUUGGGGAUAACGUCCCGUAACGGGCGCUAAUACCGCAUACGUCCUGAGGGUGAAACUUGGGGAUCUUCGUACCUCACUCCAUCUGAUGAGCCUAGGUCUGAUUAGCUAGUUGGUGGGGUAAAGGCCUACCAAGGCGACGAUCCGUAACUGGUCUGAGAGGAUGAUCAGUAACACUGGAACUGAGAAACGGUCCAGACUCCUACGGGAGGCAGAAGUGGGGAAUAUUGGACAAUGGGCGAAAGCCUGAUCAAGAAAUGCCGCGGGUGUGAAGAAGGUCUUCGGAUUGUAAAGCACUUUAAGUUGGGAGGAAGGGCAGUAAGUUAAUAACUUGCUGUUUUGACGUUACCAACAGAAUAAGCACCGGCUAACUUCGUG
rnacentral:rRNA from 1 species